AUUGAACGCUGGCGGCAUGCUUUACACAUGCAAGUCGAACGCUGAUAAGGUGCUUGCACCUUUGAUGAGUGGCGGACGGGUGAGUAAUGCAUAGGAAUCUGCCUAUUAGUGGGGGACAACGUGGGGAAACUCACGCUAAUACCGCAUACGAUCUACGGAUGAAAGCUGGGGACCUUCGGGCCUGGCGCUAAUAGAUGAGCCUAUGUCGGAUUAGCUAGUUGGUGGGGUAAAGGCCUACCAAGGCGACGAUCUGUAGCUGGUCUGAGAGGACGACCAGCCACACUGGGACUGAGACACGGCCCAGACUCCUACGGGAGGCAGCAGUGGGGAAUUUUGGACAAUGGGGGCAACCCUGAUCCAGCCAUGCCGCGUGAAGGAUGAAGUAUUUCGGUAUGUAAACUUCGAAAGAAUAGGAAGAAUAAAUGACGGUACUAUUUAUAAGGUCCGGCUAACUACGUGCCAGCAGCCGCGGUAAGUGA
rnacentral:rRNA from 1 species